ensembl:lncRNA
GAAUGAAAUCCUGUAGAGAUGCCCAGAGGAGGGGCAUGCCCAGGGAUGGCAGAGGGAAGGACGAGUCAGACGGAGAGAUUUUUCUCUGUUCAAACUCCCUGCUCCCAUUAGUUCCCCCAAACCAAUCACAGGGCUAACAGAUGUGGAAUUCCCUCCUGCCGGGAAGGGCGCUUUCUCUGCUCUAGAAGAGUGGAAGGGUGAGCUGACGAGAAUCUUCCUGGACUGACACCGGUAGCAGGGGUGGAAGAGAGGAGCUGUCUCCAGUGGAUGGAAGUCAGAACAGCUCCGAGGACACGGAGCAGGCAAGACUGUAGGUCACCCAGGCGGCAGGCACGGGCUGGUAAGCAGGACGACUCAUUGUUUCACUGUCCCUCCAGGUUAAUUCUGUUCCAGGGAGCGAGGGAUACCAGGCUUGGCCAACAGGGUACAAGCAGCGCUGUCCGCGGACCACUAAGGACAUCAAUACUCCAUAUCUAGUAGCUGGUCUUUCCCACCUCGUUCUACCUCAAGCACCAGAUUUCUUAUGAAAUAUGACCCCGUGAGUUAGAAAAGAACAUGACUGUGUGUUCAGUUGUAGUCCGUGGGAGAAGACAAACUAAACUGAAGUUGUCAGGGCAGGAGACAGGACUGGCAGGUGUGACGGUUUGAAGAAUGGCCCCACAGGCUCACCAGGGAGUGGCACUAUUUGAAAAAUGAUAAGGAUCAGGAGGGGUGGCUUUGUUUGAGGAAGUGUGUCACUGGGGUGGCCUGUGGACUGGGAUGUAUCUCAGCUCCGGCUCCAGCAUCACGUGGGCUGCAAUGCUCCUAGCCAAGAUGAUAAUGGACUAAGCCUCUGAAAUUGUAAGCAAGAAACUAAAUGCUUUCUUUAAUCCCAUGCAGCAGGGAGUCAGGCAGUGGCCAGCAGAUCGCUGAGUUCAAGACCAGCCUGGUUCAUAGAGUAAGUUCAAGGUCAGUCAGGGUUACACAGAGAAACCCUGCCGGGGGGCUCAGGUCGCCUUGGUUGGAGUUCUCACUGAUGGAACAGUGACAAGAGAGCAGGUGAAGUGCUUACCUACAGGACUAAUAUCCUGAGACUGAACCCACAUCUCUCAAGAAACUAGACAGAGCUGUGCACAUCUAGACUCCCACUGUCUCCCUGGGGAAUGGCCAGAAGUUCAUGGCCAGCCAGUGAACUGAAAGAGACACUGUCUAAAACACAAUGCAAGUCAAGGCCUGACACCCAAGGUUAUCCUCUGGGACACAUAUUCAAAGACACAUAUGCAUCACACACACAAGGAGGAGGAGUCAGACUCAAUAUGCUUGCCUCCGGCUUUGCAGCUACUGUUCAGUUAAAGACAUACAUGUUCACUGUGUCACCAGCUAAUGGCCCAGCAGAAGGGGAACGUAGAAAAGGCUAAGACGGUGACUCUAACAGUGGGCAGGCAGAAACCUCUAAUGCCGUGUGGUUUGCAGGCCUUUUAAAUUACGUCUUGACCAGGCGUGGUGGCACACACACUAAUCCCAGUACCUGAGAGGCGGAGGCAGGAGGGCCACAGUAAGUUUCAGGCCAGCCUGGCCUGCAUAGUGAGUUCCGGGUUAGACAGGGAUCUAUAAUGAAACCUUGCCUCAAAAACAAUUUAGGCCCUCUGUGGUGACAUGCGCCUUUAAUCCCAGCUCUUAGGAAGCAGGCAGACCUCUGUGAGUUCACAGAGAGUUCCAGGGUAGCCAGGGCUACACAAAGACCCUGUCUUAAAAACAAAUAACAAAAUUAAUUUUAAAAAGCAAAAAGGAAAUCCUGUCUGAAAUGAAGAGGGAGAGUAAUAAGGCUAAUAUACUAAGCACCACGUCAGCAAAACCAAAUGCACCCCACGUGGGCAGCAGAGAGGCCUCGCAGUCUGAGGAGCUAUAGGAGCAGGGUUGUGCAGAGGAUGGGGACCUACAGGAGACGGGGCUCAUUUGUUUUGGAGAAUGCUUUAAAUAUAAUAAAGGCAAUAAAUCUUACCUGCU